rnacentral:rRNA from 1 species
UUGAAACGGGAAAACGGGGGGCAAUUCCGUGAGUAUAGUGGCGUACGGGUGAGUAACACGUGACUACCUACCUUUGAGUGGGGGAUAACCCCGGGAAACCGGGGCUAAUACCGCAUAACAUCGCAAGAUCAAAGAAGCAAUUCGCUUAAAGAGGGGGUCGCGGCUGAUUAGCUAGUUGGUAGGGUAAUGGCCUACCAAGGCGGUGAUCGGUAGCCGGCCUGAGAGGGCGCACGGCCACACUGGAACUGAAACACGGUCCAGACUCCUACGGGAGGCAGCAGUGGGGAAUUUUGCGCAAUGGGGGAAACCCUGACGCAGCAACGCCGCGUGGAGGAUGAAGUCCCUUGGGACGUAAACUCCUUUCGACCGGGACGAUUAUGACGGUACCGGUGGAAGAAGCCC